CAAGCCAUAGUCAGAGGCCGCCCUCCACGGAGGUUACCGAGGAAGAGACUCGAACAUCCCAAAGGAUCGACAAGACCAUGCUGACAAGUCUGAAGGCCAAGAAGCAGGAGCUGGCCAACAGCUCGGAUGUGACCCUCCCAGACCGGCCGCUGUCCCCUCCUCUCACUGCACCUCCCACCAUGAAGUCAGCGGAGUUCUUCGAGAUGCUGGAGAAGAUGCAGGGGAUCAAGCUUGAAGAGCAGAAGCCGGGACCCCAGAAGAACAAGGAUGACUAUAUCCCAUACCCCAGCAUCGACGAGGUUGUAGAGAAGGGAGGCCCGUACCCUCUCAUCAUCCUGCCCCAGUUUGGGGGCUACUGGAUUGAGGACCCGGAGAACGUGGGCACACCAACGUCACUGGGCAGCAGCAUCUGUGAGGAGGAGGAAGAGGACAACCUCAGCCCCAACACCUUCGGCUACAAGCUCGAGUGCAAGGGCGAAGCCAGGGCCUACCGCAGGCACUUCCUAGGGAAGGAUCAUCUCAACUUCUACUGUACUGGCAGCAGCCUGGGGAACUUGAUCCUGUCGGUCAAGUGCGAGGAAGCCGAGGGGAUUGAGUACCUUCGGAUCAUCCUCAGGUCCAGACUGAAGACAGUGCAUGAGCGGAUCCCUUUGGCAGGACUGAGCAAGUUGCCCAGCGUCCCUCAGAUUGCAAAGGCUUUCUGUGAUGAUGCAGUGGGGCUGAAAUUCAACCCUGUCCUGUACCCCAAGGCCUCUCAAAUGAUUGUGUCCUAUGAUGAGCACGAUGUCAACAACACAUUCAAAUUUGGGGUCAUUUAUCAAAAAGCCAGGCAGACCCUGGAGGAGGAGCUAUUUGGGAACAAUGAGGAGAGCCCAGCUUUCAAGGAGUUCUUGGACCUGCUGGGGGACACAGUCACACUGCAGGACUUCAAAGGUUUCCGAGGCGGCCUGGAUGUGACCCAUGGACAGACAGGGGUGGAAUCAGUGUACACGACAUUCCGGGACAGGGAGAUCAUGUUUCACGUCUCUACAAAGCUGCCGUUUACCGAGGGAGACGCCCAGCAGCUCCAGAGAAAGAGACACAUUGGCAAUGACAUUGUGGCCAUCAUCUUCCAAGAAGAAAAUACACCAUUUGUCCCAGAUAUGAUCGCCUCCAAUUUCUUACAUGCCUACAUUGUUGUGCAGGCUGAGACCUCGGGCACAGAGACUCCAUCCUACAAGGUCUCUGUCACUGCAAGAGAAGAUGUGCCUGCCUUUGGCCCACCUCUGCCCAGCCCCCCUGUUUUCCAGAAGGGCCCGGAGUUCAGGGAGUUUCUGCUCACCAAGCUCACCAAUGCAGAGAACGCUUGCUGCAAGUCGGACAAGUUUGCAAAGCUGGAGGACCGGACAAGGGCUGCCCUCCUGGACAACCUUCACGAUGAGCUCCACACCCACACGCAGGUCAUGCUGGGACUGGGGCCAGAGGAGGACAAGUUUGAGAACGGAGGCCAUGGGGGAUUCCUGGAGUCUUUUAAGAGGGCCAUCCGUGUGCGUAGCCACUCAAUGGAGACCAUGGUGGGCAGCCAGAAGAAGCAGCACAGUGGGGGUAUCCCCGGCAGCCUCAGCGGGGGCAUCUCCCACAACAGCAUGGAGGUCACCAAGACUACCUUCUCGCCUCCGGUGGCGGUGGCAGUGGUGAAGAACCAGUCACGGAGUCCCAUCAAGCGGCGGUCGGGGCUCUUCCCUCGUCUGCACACAGGCUCUGAAGGCCAGGGGGACAGCCGGACAAGAUGUGACAGUACAUCCAGCACUCCCAAGACCCCGGAUGGUGGACACUCUUCUCAGGAGAUAAAGUCUGAGACCUCGUCCAAUCCCAGCUCUCCGGAAAUCUGUACCAACAAAGAGAAGCCCUUCAUAAAGUUGAAGGAGAAUGGCCGAGCCAACAUCUCCCGCUCCUCCUCCAGCACCAGCAGCUUCAGCAGCACUGCCGGGGAGGGCGAGGCCAUGGAGGAGUGUGACAGCGGGCCAGCCUUCCACAACCUCGCCCUUCAAGCAGGAGGUGUUUGUCUACAGCCCGUCCCCAAGCAACGAGAGCCCCAGUCUGGGGACAACCGCCACCCCCAUCAUCAUGAGCCGGAGUCCCACGGAUACCAAAAGCAGAAACUCCCCGAGAUCAAACCUGAAAUUCCGCUUUGACAAGCUCAGCCAUGCCAGCUCCAGUGCGGGUCACUAAUGUGAAAGAGGAGUCCUUUGCCUGUCCAAGGUGGGUCAAGGAAGUCCUGAUUCUGUCCCAGAGAAGGCUCCUGUUCCAGCAGUUUGGGGGUGCCACCCACUACUAUGACCGUCACUGGUACACUGCCCCACCGGCCACCUGCCCACUGACCAGCUGUAUGUCCCAGUGUCUCGACCCAGCCACAGCCCUGCCCACCCCUUUGCCA